UAUAAAAUGCGAUGCCAUUUUGUUUUUUAGGGUUUUGGGGGAGAAACAUGUAACUCAGACGAUCAACAAGCAAUGAGGCGACAGCGGAGGGAAGAGGCUGUUUGUUGACUGCCCCCUUUUGCCGCUUAUGAUUUUCUCAUUUCUCCCCCCACUCAUACAGAAAUACAUAUAUACAUACACAUAUAGAUAUAGAUAUAGAUGUUGAUGAUUGAUGUAAAAGAAUUGAAUGAAUGGAUGGUCUUGUUUACAAGUACUAUAUCCAAAUCCAACACCAUCAUCGCCACCAUUCUUCUAUAAUACAACUGAUGAUAUAGUUGAGCGAUAUUAUGGUUACAAAACCACAGGGACGAUUUGUGAAAUUAACUCUAAACUAUAUCUAUAGUAAAUGGGGCAGUGAUGCUAUACAUUAAUAUUAUCUGUUGAUCGUCUGAGUUAAAAUAAUUGGGUAAAGUUUGAGAUUUUACUGUAUCUUGGCGGGGUAAUCAAUUAUUCAUAGAUUGCAGCCAUGGCGGUUUUAUCCACUUUGCACCGAUUCUUUUUUACAGAUCUGAGCCCUUAUUAUGAUAAGUAAAAUGAUUUUUAAACUUUCAUUAUUGGUUUAUAUUAUCUAGGGUGCAUUUGUUUGAAAUAGUUUCUUGAAUGUUACCAUUACUAGUAUAACUUUUAAUUAUACAUAUCUUUUAACACGUGUUUUGUUUUAUUUUUUGCAUAUAAUUUUUUUUAUUUUCUCUUUCGAACAAAGCAUAUCAACUGUUUAGGUGGUGUAUUGUGGUUAUGGAGGUUGUAUGUAUAAGAAUAGAUUCUGAUUGUCAGAUUGUCACUUUCAACUGGGGUCUUGUAACUGAAGGAGGUUUGAAUCUUGUAAAUAGAGGUGGUUCAUUUUUGACCCAUUUACAGAUGAAAUAACCAAAGUGAGAUGAAACUAUAACUUGGUGGGGUAACUUUAUGUAGCUUAGUAAAUGUUGAGAUCAACCAAAGUUAGUGUAGCUUAGUAAAUGGUGAGAUUAACCAUAACUUGGUGGGGUAACUUUCUGUGGCCUUGUGUAGAAGUCAUUUGAAUUUUCAAACUUAAUUGAUUUUUACGGUGAAUGCAGCUUUGUUGGUUUAUUCAGAUUCAUUUUCUGAUCCGAGCCUUACCAAAAUUAUUGCGAAACCGGUUAAAUAUAUACUUUGUUAGACAUUCAUGUAUUAAUCACUGAUUACAAAAUCUUAACAUGUGAAUUUGCAACUACUUAUUUGUUGGCUUGUUGCCUUGAGUCUGCCUCAGUCAGAAUUCAUGGCGGUGGGCGAAUGGAUAUGGCUUUGAGAGUAAAAGUGUGUAUGAUGUUAUUUUUUUCCUGAAUCGUUUUGCUUUUUUUUCAUUGUUCUUAUGUCUUUCACUUUUUUUGAUACUUUAAUUUACAAGAGUUCAUGUUCUAUUAUUUUAAUUAUUUUUGUGUAUAUUGUAAACUCUUUUUAACAACUUGAGUCCCAAUGGAAUGUUUUCUCUGUGCUAUUCGGUACACUUGGGCCGAGUGGUGCAGAGACAUAAGUUUGUGUGGUGGCCCUGAUUAGUUUUAUGCAAGGUCUUAAGUCGGUUUUAGCUUGGUGGGUUUGGGCAUGCGACUCUGCUGUUGUAUUGAUUGCUAGGUUCAUGUAAAUUUUGUUUGUCAUGUUUUUAUAUAUUCUGUUUUUCAUUUGUGCGUCGAGUAUUCAAGUAUGGGGUUGGCUUUUCUCAAUGGACAGUUUCUUUAAUUUGCUGAGCUCAAAGUUAAUGUAAGUUUUGGUCAGGUAGUAGUGUGUUCUAUUUGCUUGUGUUGAAUUACAUAAUUGCUGGUGUUUAAUUGCUUGUAUAGUAGUUGGAAAGUCAUAGGUGUUAUUGAUUUAAUAGUUUAGGAUGGUGGUCUCCAAAAAGAAAGCUUGAUUGUGAAUGUAAGAAUACCAUCUUUGACUUUGUAUUGCAUAAUAAAGUGUAACCCUAUUGCUACAUAUCUAUUUUUAAGUACCAUGUUGUGGGUUCUGUUCCAGGGGAUUUGGGCUAUAAAUAGCUAAGACAAAAUGGGGAUUACAGAGGGCCGGUUUGUGGUUGCUAAACCUUUGUAACUUUGUUAAUGGAAAUGAAAUGUUGUAUCAUAGUAGGAGGUUAGCGCACAGUUAGCUUACUUGGGAUGUGAGUUACAUCCACUCGAAUCAUUAAUUUGAGAAGCAAAUUUUUUUUUGUAAGGUUGUCAGCAUAUAAGUUAGCUCCGGGUGAAUUUCAACCCAUUUUCUUUUGGCUACAUUUGACCUAUCAAAUACAUAGAACAAUAUAGGCAUGUUUGGUAAGUGGCUUUUGAGGGGCUUUUAGGAGCUAAACCGCAGCUUUUUAAAACAAGCUCUUUUUUAAUAAAAUAGCAUUGUUUAAAAUGUUUUCGUGAAAAAAAACCCCAGCCCAAGCCCCAGCUCCAGCCUAUAUAUAAUGGGAUGUUUUAUCAUAGUAGUAUAGAGCGGACUUUGUUUACUUGUUAUGUAAGUUACCUGUAUAGAAGUGCCCUUGAACUUCUAGCUGAGAUGCUUAUGUGGUUAGUAUUUCUGUCAUGGUAACGUGUUUUCAGCUUGUUUUGUAAAAGCACAUUUGAGUCUCAACUUUUGAUUGUUAAUGAAUAUCUUAACAUUUAUUACUCUAUCUGAUGGAAACUUAGAGUCCUUUUAGUACAGUUGUCUUAAUUUGCCAUUAUACAUGUGUAAGGGUGAUUUAUGCAGGUGACAAAAGGUGGGACAUGUUUCGGUUAUCUGUAAGAAGUGAAAAUAGAUUGGCCGUCACAUUUUGAAGGGAAAGGAGUAUAAACGGUUGUGGUACCAGAACUGUAGUUCCUUUUGACAUGAGAUUUAGGGUGGUUAUUAUAUCUUGGACUACAUUCUAGCCGAUUUUCUUCUUAGUUUUUGUAUCUAAAUUUACCAAAAUAUUCAUAUGUGCCACUCCUAUAGGAAUGUACCUAAUGAUGUAGAUGGCUUAAGAAGGAACUGGUAUGUUGUAAUGUUGUGUGGACGGCCAUAGUAUUCGACAAAGUUUGAAUUUCGCUGUUUGAUGGAUUUUAUUCGACAAAGUUUAAAUUUCGCUGUUUGAUGGAGAUUUAGUUCAGUUAAUUAAUGAAGUGGCUGGCUUGUACUACAAGAGAGUCUGGAUGUUUGAGUCUUCGCUUCAAGAAUGAGAACCUCAGUAGUGAAAACCCAAUGACAGGGUGGUGUUCCCAAGUUGUAAUUCACCAAUUGAAGUUUAAGAGCAAUAAGGCUUCUGUUCCCACUUUCUGUAGAGAAGGCUUUUGCACUAAAUAUUAAAGGGGAAUUACAGAAAUGGAUAGAAACUGAAACUAUCAUCACAGAAGGGAGCUAUGAUUACUGGAUCUUCAUUGUAUGCCAAUGCAUGUAGGAUGUGUGCGUUUGAAUAUUGUAAAGAAUGUUUAUGUGUCUGUUUAUUGAUUAUGAUCAUGUUGUUAAUAACACCCCUCUUUCUUCAAAGGA